rnacentral:rRNA from 1 species
CGUAGGUGGCAAGCGUUGUCCGGAUUCAUUGGGCGUAAAGCGCCCGCAGGCGGCUCAGCAAGUUUCAGGUGAAAUCUCCCGGCUCAACUGGGAGGGGUCUUGGAAAACUGCUGGGCUUGAGGCAGGGAGAGGGAUGCGGAAUACCAGGUGUAGUGGUGAAAUGCGUAGAUAUCUGGUGGAACACCAGUGGCGAAGGCGGCAUCCUGGCCCUGUCCUGACGCUCAGGGGCGAAAGCGUGGGGAGCAAACCGGAUUGGAUACCCGGGUAGUCCACGCCGUAAACGAUGAGUACUAGGUGUAGGGGGUAUCGACCCCCUCUGUGCCGAAGCUAACGCGAUAAGUACUCCGCCUGGGGACUACGGCCGCAAGGCUA